GGGCGAUUAGCUCAGUUGGCUAGAGCAUCUCGUUUACACCGAGGGGGUCGGGGGUUCAAGUCCCUCAUCGCCCACCA
rnacentral:tRNA from 1 species